GACGAAGGGGGCUAGCGUUGUUCGGAAUUACUGGGCGUAAAGCGCGUGUAGGCGGUUUUUCAAGUCAGGUGUGAAAGCCUUGAGCUCAACUCAAGAAAUGCACUUGAUACUGGAUGACUAGAGGACCGGAGAGGAUAGUGGAAUUCCCAGUGUAGUGGUGAAAUACGUAGAGAUUGGGAAGAACACCAGUGGCGAAGGCGGCUAUCUGGACGGUUUCUGACGCUAAGACGCGAAAGCGUGGGGAGCAAACAGG
rnacentral:rRNA from 1 species